GGUUGUGACUCAGUGGUAGAGAGCUGGCCUUGCAUAUGUGAGGCUCUGGGUUCGAUCCUCAGCACCA
rnacentral:tRNA from 1 species